UAACAAGGUUUCCGUAGGUGAACCUGCGGAAGGAUCAUUACAGAAAGUAAACGCGGAUCAAACCGCGAACUUCUAAACCUUUGACGAUUGACUCAUGUUGCCUCGGCGGGUUCUCCCGCCAGAGGAUGCAUCAAAACUCCUGUUUUAACGAGUGUUGUCUGAGCUACAAGCAACGAAUCAAAACUUUCAACAACGGAUCUCUUGGUUCUGGCAUCGAUGAAGAACGCAGCGAAAUGCGAUAAGUAGUGUGAAUUGCAGAAUUCAGUGAAUCAUCGAAUCUUUGAACGCACAUUGCGCCCCUUGGUAUCCCGAGGGGCAUGCCUGUUCGAGCGUCAUUUCACCACUCAAGCUUGGCUUGGUGUUGGGCGACGUCCCCUUUGGGGACGCGCCUCGAAACGCUCGGCGGCGUGGCACCGGCUUUAAGCGUAGCAGAAUCUUUCGCUUUAAAAGUCGGGGCCCCGUCUGCCGGAAGACCUACUCGCAAGGUUGACCUCGGGUCAGGCAGGGAUACCCGCUGAACUUAG
rnacentral:rRNA from 1 species